rnacentral:rRNA from 1 species
GGCGGACGGGUGAGUAACGCGUGGGUAACCUGGCCCAUACAGGGGGAUAACCCGGCGAAAGUCGGACUAAUACCGCAUGAAGCAGGGGCCCCGCAUGGGGAUAUUUGCUAAAGAUUCAUCGCUGAUAGAUAGGCAUGCGUUCCAUUAGGCAGUUGGCGGGGUAACGGCCCACCAAACCGACGAUGGAUAGGGGUUCUGAGAGGAAGGUCCCCCACAUUGGUACUGAGACACGGACCAAACUCCUACGGGAGGCAGCAGUGAGGAAUAUUGGUCAAUGGGCGUAAGCCUGAACCAGCCAAGUCGCGUGAGGGAUGAAGGUUCUAUGGAUCGUAAACCUCUUUUAUAAGGGAAUAAAGUGUGGGACGUGUCCUGUUUUGUAUGUACCUUAUGAAUAAGGAUCGGCUAACUCCGUGCCAGCAGCCGCGGUAAUACGGAGGAUCCGAGCGUUAUCCGGAUUUAUUGGGUUUAAAGGGUGCGUAGGCGGCCUUUUAAGUCAGCGGUGAAAGUCUGUGGCUCAACCAUAGAAUUGCCGUUGAAACUGGGAGGCUUGAGUAUGUUUGAGGCAGGCGGAAUGCGUGGUGUAGCGGUGAAAUGCUUAGAUAUCACGCAGAACCCCGAUUGCGAAGGCAGCCUGCCAAGCCAUGACUGACGCUGAUGCACGAAAGCGUGGGGAUCAAACAGGAUUAGAUACCCUGGUAGU